rnacentral:rRNA from 1 species
GGUUUGAUCACAUGGCUCAGAUUGAACGCUGGCGGGAUGCUUUACACAUGCAAGUCGAACGGCAACCUGGACUUCAGUCCUGGUGGCGAGUGGCGAACGGGUGGUAAUGUAUCGGAGACGUGCCUAGUAGCAGGGGAUAACUACGCAAGCCGUCAGCUAAUACGCAUACGCCCUUCAGGAAAGCGGGGACAACCCAAGGGCCCCUCACCUAUUCGGCUUAGCCGAUAUCAAGUUGGCUAGUUGGUGGGAGUAGCGCAGCUCCGCAAAGGCGGCGAUCCAUGCUUCGUUUGAGACGAAAUAUACGCCACUGGGACUGGAGACACGGCCCAGACUCCUACGGAGGCAGCAGUGAGGAAUUUUGAACUAUUGCGGGAAACCCUGAUCCAGCCAUCCCGCGUGUGCGAUGAAGGCCGCCUUCGGGUUGUAAAGCACUGGCAGGAAAGAAACGGCACGGGAUAAUACCCCGUGCAACUGACGGUACCUGCGGAAUGACACCGGCUAACUACAAUGCCACCAACCCAGCCGCGAUAAUACGUAAGGGAGUCUGGCGUUAAAUCGGAAUUAUGAUGACGUAAAGCGUGCGCAGGCGGUUCGGAAGAAAGAUGGCGAAUCCCAGAGGGCUUAACUUUGGAACUGCAUUUUAACUACAGCUGAAAUUGUGUCGGAGGUGGAAUUGCGCGUGUAGCGAGUGAAAUGCGUAGAUAUGCCGGAGGAACACCGAUGGCGAAGGCAGCCUCCUGGGAUAACACUGACGCUCAUGCACGAAAAGCGUGGGAGCAAACAGGAUUAGAUACCCUGGUAGUCCACGCCCUAAACGAUGUCAACUAGCUAUUUGGGGCCUUCGGGCCUUGGUAGCGCAACUAACGCUGAAGUUGACCGCCUGGGAAUGCGGUCGCAAGAUUAAAACUCAAAGGAAUUGACGGGGACCCGCACAAGCGGUGGAUGAUGUGGAUUAAUUCGAUGCAACGCGAAAAAGCCGCCUACCCUUGACAUGUCUGGAAUCCCGAAAAUUUGGGAGUGCUCGCGAAGAACCGGAACACGAGUGCUGCAUGGCUGUCGUCAGCUCGUGUGUUGAGAUGUUGGGUUAAGUCCCGCAACAGCGCAACCCUUGUGUUAGUUUGCUACGAAGGGCAUAAUGAGACUGCCGGUGACAAACCGGAGGAAGGUGGGGAUGACGUCAAGUCCUCAUGGCCCUUAUGGGUAGAGCUUCACACGUCAUACAAUGGUCGGGACAGAGGGUCGCCAACCCGCGAGGGGGCCAAUCGACCCGAUCGUAGUCCGGAUCGCAGUCUGCAACUCGACUGCGUGAAGUCGGAAUCGCUAGUAAUCGCGGAUCAGCAUGUCGCGGUGAAUACGUUCCGGGUCUUGUACCGCACCGCCCGUCACGCAAAGCGGGAGUGGGUUUUACCAAGAAGUAGUUAGCCUAACCGUGGAGGGCGAUUACCAAUGAGAUUCGCAGCUGAGGG